UGNGCUACACCCUAAGCACAUUUGUCUUGC
rnacentral:piRNA from 1 species